rnacentral:rRNA from 1 species
GACGUAGGGCGCGAGCGUUGUCCGGAUUUAUUGGGCGUAAAGAGCUCGUAGGCGGCUUGUCGCGUCGACUGUGAAAACCCGCGGCUCAACUGCGGGCUUGCAGUCGAUACGGGCAGGCUAGAGUGCGGUAGAGGGUAGUGGAAUUCCGGUGUAGCGGUGAAAUGCGUAGAGAUCGGGAGGAACACCGGUGGCGAAGGCGGUUCUCUGGGCAUUACCUGACGCUGAGGAGCGAAAGUGUGGGGAGCGAACAGG